AGCUUGUGAGAGAGCAAUCAAAUUGCAUACUCACUCUAGGACAUAUCCUUGUUAUUUUCUGUGGUCAAGCACAUGACAGUGAAUUGUGUGCAAGUGGAUGCUGAAAAGCAGUAACUUAGGAUCAACUUGGAUUCAGGAAAACCAGCAAUUAUCACAUCAAAGGUCAUCAGUCCACCCGGGAAACUUCAAUCCUUAACUGGUGGAGGAUUGCUGCAGCUUUUGCAAACAUCUCAGAUCAGAGGGAAUAAAAGAAUAACGAUGAUUUAACCAUGCUGCACAAGAGGUCCAGAG